AACCUGGCACAGAAUGUGAAAGCAUUCAGACAGCAAGAGUGAAUAUUACCCAGGCUGCCAUUGAGGGACUUGAAUCACCCUCCACAUCAGACCAAGGCACAACUUUUACGCAAAUAAUUGGUGAACAACAGGAUGUACAAAUGCAAACAGAUGUACAGGAAAUAUCUGUGAGACAGCCAGAAGACAACAUAUCGCUAACGACUGCUGACCUGCAAGAGAUGACAAACGAAAAGGUAGACCUUUUGUUGGAUGGAGAUGAUCCUGUGUAUCCCGGAGCACCUCUGACAAAAGGGCAGAGUUUACUGUUGCUUAUGUCUUAUAUACUAAGGCACAAUCUUACAGCUGUUUGAGUAGACCAUCUACUGAAGAUCUUCAAUGAGCAUUUUCCAGGCAUGGUGCCAGUAACCAAAUAUCUUUUUCGAAAAGCCUAUGGUCAGUAUGGAAAUUAUGAACCCCAUUUCUACUGUCCAACAUGUGAAAACUACUUGGGGAGAAAUACUGGUGAGCUACAGUGUGACAUUUGUUGUACAGUAACUAAUUCAGAAAGCUGUCUUAAAAGUGGCAGCUUUUUCCUGGUUCUCAGUUUAGCUUCACAGAUCAAAACAUUGCUUGAGCAAAAACAUACAAGUUUAAAAAAAGAUGGGCCAGUUGCAGAUACUAUUUCAGACAUACAAUGUGGAGAUGAGUAUCAAAAGCUUAAGGAAUCCGGUGCAAUGGGUGAAGAUGACAUAUCUUUAAUUUGGAACUGUGAUGGAAUACCGCUGUUCAGGAGUUCCAAGUACC